UACGAAGGGGGCUAGCGUUGUUCGGAUUCACUGGGCGUAAAGGGUGCGCAGGUGGGUUGGCAAGUUUGAUGUGAAAGCCCCGGGCUUAACCCGGGAAUGGCAUUGAAUACUGCUGAUCUGGAGGAUCGGAGGGGGGACUGGAAUUCUUGGUGUAGCAGUGAAAUGCGUAGAAUAUCAAGAGGAACACCAGUGGCGAAGGCGAGUCCCUGGACGAUACCUGACACUGAGGCACGAAAGCCAAGGGAGCAAACAGG
rnacentral:rRNA from 1 species